UAUUGAGCAUUCAACUUUUUUAAACAACUGUACAGAUAACAGUUUGGAAUAUGUUCCAAAUUAUUUAAAUUAGUUACUAAGACAACAGAGGCUCACUCUAGCAAUACUUUAAAUAAU